GUGUCAGCAGCCGCGGUAAUACGUAGGCAGCAAGCGUUGUUCGGAGUUACUGGGCGUAAAGAGUGCGUAGGCGGUGUCGAAAGUUUGGCGUGAAAUCUCCCGGCUUAACUGGGAGGGUGCGCCGAAAACUGCGGUGCUGGAGUGUGGGAAAGGCAAGCGGAAUUCCUGGUGUAGCGGUGAAAUGCGUAGAUAUCAGGAGGAACACCGGCGGUGUAGACGGCUUGCUAGACCAUAACUGACGCUGAGGCACGAAAGCGUGGGUAGCAAACAGGAUUAGAAACCCCCGUAGUCC
rnacentral:rRNA from 1 species